rnacentral:tRNA from 1 species
GGUUGAGGUUCAGUGGUAGAGUGGUUGCCUAGCAGGCGAGCUAGGUCCUGGGUUCAAUCCUCAGGACCA